rnacentral:rRNA from 1 species
GACGAACCGUACGAACGUUAUUCGGAAUUACUGGGCUUAAAGGGUUUGUAGGCGGCCUUGUAAGUCAGGUGUGAAAUCCCUCGGCUCAACCGAGGAAUGGCGCUUGAUACUGCAAGGCUUGAGGGAGACAGGGGUAAGCGGAACUGAUGGUGGAGCGGUGAAAUGCGUUGAUAUCAUCAGGAACACCGGUGGCGAAAGCGGCUUACUGGGUCUCUUCUGACGCUGAGGAACGAAAGCUAGGGGAGCGAACAGG